CAGGCCCCCCUGAAGCCGAAGACGCCGCGGGGCACGAAGACCCCCAUCAACCGGAACCAGCUGAGCCAGAGCCGGGGGCUGGCGGGGCUCGUGGGCAAACGGGGCUACGAGGGGGGGGCCGAAGGCCACCGCCCCCCCCGGGUACGGGUCGGUGCGUCGAGCGUCUCAUUCUCGGCCAACGGGCGCCCCCUACCGGCGGGGCUGCGCGCCGGUCCUCCACCCGCCAGCAAGCGGCAGAAGCUGAACCCCGCCGACGCCCCCAACCCCGUUGUCUUCGUGGCCACCAAGGACACCAGGGCCCUACGGAAGGCGCUGACCCACCUGGAGCUGCGCCGGGCCGCCCGCCGCCCCACGCUGCCCCUCAAGGUGAAGCCAGGGCUGCCGCUACGGCCGGGGGGGUCCCUGCCGCCCCCCGCGCCGCCCCACCCCGCCAGCACCUCAGAGCCCAUCGUCCUCGAGGACUGACCCCUCCGCCCCGCCCCCCAACCCCUUCCCACCGCCGGGCUGCGCCCUUUUGUAUUUUUUUUAUUUCCAUAG